UUGAUAAUGCAUUUGUCUCCCUAUGUGUCUUGACCAAAUAAAGUGCCAGCAGUCGCGGCAAUAUGUAGAAGACUAGUGUUAUCCAUGUUUAAUCGGUUUAAAGGGUACCUAGACGGUGAAUCAAGCUUUAGAAUAAAGAAGAAAAAGGACUAAUUCGCUAGAGUUACUUACGAGGGGGUAUUAAAGUACUGCUGGUGUAGAGAUGAAAUUCUGUCAUACCUCUUUUCGAAAGAAAAAUUACGGCACAGGUAUAGGCGAAGGCAUCCCCUUAUGUGAUAACUGACGUUGAGGGACGAAGGCUUUGUGUAACAAACAGGAUUAGAUACCCUAGUAGUUGAAGCAGAAAAUGAUGAAUGUCAUAGAUUAGACGUCUAAGUUUAUUCUAUAAAUGAAAGUGUAAGCAUUCCACCUCAUGAGUAAUUUGGCAACAUUGGAAUUGAAAUCAUUAGACCGUUUCUGAAACCAGUAGUGAAGUAUGUUGUUUAAUUUGAUAAUACGCAAAAAACCUUACCACAAUUUGAAUAUUUAUAUUUAACAUAUAUCUACAAGCGUUGCACGGCUGUCUUCAGUUAAUGUCGCGAGAUUGGUCCCUUCCC
rnacentral:rRNA from 1 species